CGACACCCCACCCAGUGCCCUUUAAAUAGGGGAAGUGUGUCCUGUGAGUGUGUGGCUGCUGUGGAUGCAGGAGACCUGGGACUCAGGACUGCUCUCUGCCUGCUUCAGUCGCCCAGCCUCGCUGAGGAUCUGUGACUCCAGACAUGAGGACCCUCGCCCUCCUCGCUGCCCUUCUCCUGCUGGCCCUCCAGGCCCAGGCUGAGCCUCUCGGAGCAAGAGUUGAGGAGGCCCCAGACCAGCAGCAGCCAGGACAAGAGGACCAGGUGGCAACUAUCUCCUUUACAGGGGAUGAAAACUCGGCUCAGGAUGCAGGUGUAAGGGCAGGAGAGGAGUGCACCUGCAGAAGACCCUCAUGCAAUGCUGGGGAGAGCGUCUCAGGAAGCUGCAUAGUGAAUGGCGUCUUUUACCUGCUUUGCUGCAGUUAAAUCACAAUUUGCUUUGACACCUAGAAGGCACCUGCUGUUUCACUGUGCCAUGUCAUCAAUUCCCUCCCAGCCCAAAUAAAUUCCUUGCAUCAA